rnacentral:rRNA from 1 species
GUCUGCAACUCGACUGCACGAAGCUGGAAUCGCUAGUAAUCGCGGAUCAGCACGCCGCGGUGAAUACGUUCCCGGGCCUUGUACACACCGCCCGUCACACCAUGGAAGUCUGCAAUGCCCGAAGCCCGUGGCCUAACCACUUAUGUGGAAGGAGCCGUCUAAGGCAGGGCAGAUGACUGGGGUGAAGUCGUAACAAGGUACC